GACGAGAGCUUUGAGGGACUGGACAGCAGCGGGUUAGCUGUAUGAAGAUUAAACUGGACUUGGGAAGGAAGAAAUGAAAAUGACAUAAAACAAGCAAGUUUAUAUGGAAUCUAAUACUAAGUUUAACAGAGAAAUGACUAUUUACAAGACAAAUUUAUCCAGAAUGAAAAUAAAAUGCGAACUAUUAAAACGCGAACCUUACAGCACUAAGGAUUCACAUCAUCUUACCUGGUCUUUCUGAGGCUUCGGCAUCUGCUCGGUGGUUUUGGUUAUUCACUCAGAUUUCGCUUCCACGCAUCCCGCCUCAUUCACGUUUACACCGGAGCUUUUAUUGACGACCGCAUCACGGAGGCUUUCUGGAGAUGUAAUGGAGAAAUAAUGCCCGGCCGAAAUAUAUUUGUCGACCACACCCAGUUCCCGAAGCUGGCACCCAUCAAGCCACUCUAUACAUAAUGAAAGGAUCGGGGGUGGAUGGCUAUCUUUGGUUAUCUAGCUGUAUGAGUGUUAGUCAGUCAUCAUAAAGCUAGAUAACCGAAUGUAGAAAUUGCUCCCUAAUCUGCGCCUUACUUAAAAUGCAAAAACUCAGCGCCGAAGGACACCGCACGAAAACACCGCUCCAGGUGCAAUGCACAUCAGGCAGAGAGACCCCCGCCCCCCCCCCCCAUCUGAGUCACCGAGCUCAUCAUGGCAGCACAUGGAGACUCUCCAGGGGAAGCAGGCGGUGAACUGCAGCUCGGGGGUGUAUCCAGCAGGCUUUAGGGAGCUGUGGAGCAGACAAUAAAGUGCGGAAUCACUAGUGUUACAUGAAUUUCUUGGACUUGAUGCACUGGUGCAUGCUAGUGUGCAAUGAGGAUCAUUCUCACUUUUCUUACUUUGAAUUUUGAUUAAAAAAUUGAUCGUCUUCUGGAAUGAUAUAAUGGAGACCAUCUCCUUGAUAUGAAAAUGUUUAGAAUAUUAGCGGUUGUAUGGAUAUUUACAAAUGUUUUUGUACGUUAAGUUUUGAUUUCAGGGAAAAAAUAAAGCAUCAUUCACAUGCAUCCGAA